CAGCCGCCGCGGUAAUACGAAGGGGGCUAGCGUUGUUCGGAUUUACUGGGCGUAAAGCGCACGUAGGCGGAUCGAUCAGUCAGGGGUGAAAUCCCAGAGCUCAACUCUGGAACUGCCUUUGAUACUGUCGAUCUGGAGUAUGGAAGAGGUGAGUGGAAUUCCGAGUGUAGAGGCGAAAUUCGUAGAUAUUCGGAGGAACACCAGUGGCGAAGGCGGCUCACUGGUCCAUUACUGACGCUGAGGUGCGAAAGCGUGGGGAGCAAACAGGAUUAGAUACCCGAGUAGUCCCUGUCUCUUAUAA
rnacentral:rRNA from 1 species